UACAGAGGGUGCGAGCGUUAAUCGGAAUUACUGGGCGUAAAGCGCGCGUAGGCGGCUUUGCAAGUCGGGUGUGAAAUCCCCAGGCUUAACCUGGGAACUGCAUUCGAGACUGCAUUGCUAGAGUAUGGGAGAGGGAAGUGGAAUUUCCGGUGUAGCGGUGAAAUGCGUAGAGAUCAUGAGGAAGACCAGUGGCGAAGGCGGGUCUCUGGACAGUUCCUGACACUGAGGCACGAAGGCCAGGGGAGCAAACGGG
rnacentral:rRNA from 1 species